GCACUGCUGAGGAGUCGCAUAAUAGGACGAAACGGCCGUCCAGUGU
rnacentral:hammerhead_ribozyme from 1 species